rnacentral:rRNA from 1 species
GACGAACGCUGGCGGCGUGCUUAACACAUGCAAGUCGAACGGAAAGGCCCUGCUUGCCGGGUACUCGAGUGGCGAACGGGUGAGUAACACGUGGGUGAUCUGCCCUGCACUUCGGGAUAAGCCUGGGAAACUGGGUCUAAUACCGGAUAGGCGCCAUUUUUAGUGUGAUGGUUGGAAAGUUUUUUCGGUGUAGGAUGAGCUCGCGGCCUAUCAGCUUGUUGGUGGGGUAAUGGCCUACCAAGGCGGCGACGGGUAGCCGGCCUGAGAGGGUGGACGGCCACAUUGGGUCUGAGAUACGGCCCAGGCUCCUACGGGAGGAAGCAGUGGGGAAUAUUGCACAAGGGGCGCAAGGCUGAUGCAGCGACGCCGCGUGGGGGAUGACGGCCUUCGGGUUGUAGACUCCUUUCGCUAGGGACGAAGCUGUUUGUGACGGUACCUAGAGAAGAAGCACCGGCUAACUACGUG